AUUGGGUUCCAUCCUGGUGGUGUUCCUUGGCUGACCCGCCCUUUCAGCUCCGAGAGCCUCAAUUUGCAGCUCUAUAUCAGGGAGACUAUUUUUGACUGAGAUGGAAAUCAGAAUUUUCCUGUGUUCUAGCUUUAGGGCUGUGUGUAUCUUUGCAGAGUUUUAAGAAAUCUUUUUACAAAGGCUUUAGCAGGCUUUCCUUUCCCUCUGGGUACAGAGCUUCAUUUCAGCCAAGGGGAGAAGGCCGAAAAACUUCCUGUCAAGUUCUGAUGAUCAGUUUUCAGUGCGGCCUCCUUCUGACCAUAGAGCUACACUAAAAACAAUCCUUUUGAAUAUCUCCAUGGGCCUCAGCUGAGACAAACAGUAAAUGCUUCUGACCGUAUUGAACAACCCUUCCAUAUAAGGGGCACCCUCAAAAAGUGUGCAACGAAUAUGACCCUCCCAAGAUCCAGAGCCACUCUCAAAGAUAACCAAAAGAGAGAAAGACGAAUUUUCCUGAGAGCUGGCAACCGCCAGUAGGGCACACUGAGAGCAACCUGCUCUUCUGCAUGGCCGUGUUUGGGGCCCAAGCCUGACAGGUGCCAAGCCAAGUUCUCAAGACACAAAAGGAGACAAACAGGAAGGCAGCAGCUGUACCCAGGAGAGGAAGGAUUCACAGCCGGUGGGUACCUAAAAGCAAAUCCUUGCGGCACAAAUUCAAAGGUCUAAUUCUUGGAUUCUUUUUUGCCUGCCAAUCUGAAUUUGGAAAGGAAGGGACAAAGUAGAAUUUCAUCUCCCUCUCUCACCAGACACCGCAGAUGGAGAUCUGGGAAAGCUGAUUUUGGUCGGACCUGGCCCGGAAGAAGGAACUCUCAGAUGAAGUCUGAAAGCUCCUAAUGCAAAAGUUGCGGAUCCAUGAGGAUCCUCCCAGCGUGUCCAGAGGCAGCAGGAAAACGGCGGAGCUCUUGGGACUCACAGAAACUCCCCACUGGACCCGGGUUAUCUAAAUACAAGUUACUUAUUUGAUUGGCAUUUGCUCUCGUCAGUUUCGCAAACUGUUAUGUUGAAACAUGAGGACAUGUACAGAAAUAUUCUGAAUUCUAAGGGAAGUUCCACAUUAUAUAGUCUCGGCAUGUAACACAAUGAAAAAAGCCGUGGAUGAGAAGUCAGAGUAAAGAAUUUUCUAGAGAUGGACAUUUGGGAAGGAGGCAGUAUUUUUAGGAAAACGUCAUCAAAUAAAUGCGUGAAUGACAAUGACAACAAAAGGCAAGAAGAGUGUAUACCAUCUCGUCCUCCAGAGGAAGCACCAAGACAGAGAUGAAGAAGAGGCCAAGUGCUGGUAUAUUCGAAAAUGCUAUUUUAGACCACAUGUGAGCUGCUCACAAAGGAGGUGGCCUGAAACUCUCUUUCUACACCGUGAGAUUAUCACCUACGUCCAGAGCGAGUGACAUUAGUGGGGGAAGGAUCAGCGAGAAGGACAAGCAGACUCCACUGCUGAGCCCAGACAGAGCCUGACGUGGGGCUCAAUCCCGUAACCCCGCAAUCAUGACCGGUGCCGAAACCAAGAGCCAGGCGCUCAACCUGCUGAGCCACCCAGAGAGCCCAGUUCAUGAGUCUUUCUUCCUGCUACCUGCUGUGUAAACUGCUUCGUACUGAGACAGAGAUCACAAGUAGGAAGAGAGACCGGCAGAGAGAGAGAGGAGGAAGCAGGCUCCCUGCUGAGCAGAGAGCCUGAUGUGGGGCUCGAUCCCAGGAUCCUGAGAUCAUGACCCGAGCUGACGGCAGAGGCUUUAACCCACUGAGCCACCCAGGCGCCCCGGUGCCUUCUCGAGCAGAACCUGAGGAAAAAUGAAGUCACUUCCUCACUGAAACUCACUGAAUUUUAGGAAAACUUCGAGGAGAUCAUCAAGAGGAUGUGACUGUUGGUUGACCUGCAGGCUGGACCUGGGCUGUUGGGGGUGCCUGACUGCUCCCCUUUCAUUCCAAAGUGCGUCCCACCCACUGUGCCCACCCUAAGACCCACUUCAAGGACGCAGCCUGAGAAAGCAAUGUAUUGUGGACUCCAUCUGGGCGGUAGCCAUGGUAGAGCCCCAUUAGAGCCUCUAGUUAAACUUCUAAGCAUUUGGUGGGUAGGUACAAAGAUCUACUCAUCUUUUGGGCUGAGACAAACCUCACAAGUCAGUCCUCUUGCUUAUCAAUCUUGUUACCACCCAAGGAGGAGUAGGAGUAGGAGUAGGCCACCUCUGCCUUCCAUCUCUCCCUGGCUUCCGGGAAUAGGUGUCAGUUUGUCAACCAACAAAGCUAGACUUAGAGUUUGUGUCAUUCAGCUACAGAGACAAAACAGCUUGGAGAGAGGCGAAGGGCUUAUCUCCCAAACCAAGAAGUCCCUGUUAUUGGAAUUUUCAGAGAUUCUCAUCAUAGCUGAGAUGGUCUGGAGGGGCUCACCCAUGGGAGAAUGCCCCCAAGGUGAGGCCAACACAGCUGGACAUGAACUUUCUGGAGUAUGCUGUCCCAGGUCUGUCCUUUCUCUGUUCGGUCCCCCUCAGAGCAUUAACUUGGCAUUAAGUUCCAAAUGCUAGUUCUAAACAGAAGCUCUAAUGGCUUUGGUUGAAAGUAUUUUCAUCAGAUAUUGGAAAAAAGCUGAUUUCCUUAUUUACUCUGUCCUUAGU